ACGAGAGAAUGCUAGCUUGCUAAUAAUUCUCUAGUGGCGCACGGGUGAGUAACACGUGAGUAACCUGCCCCCGAGAGCGGGAUAGCCCUGGGAAACUGGGAUUAAUACCGCAUAGUAUCGAAAGAUUAAAGCAGCAAUGCGCUUGGGGAUGGGCUCGCGGCCUAUUAGUUAGUUGGUGAGGUAACGGCUCACCAAGGCGAUGACGGGUAGCCGGUCUGAGAGGAUGUCCGGCCACACUGGAACUGAGACACGGUCCAGACACCUACGGGUGGCAGCAGUCGAGAAUCAUUCACAAUGGGGGAAACCCUGAUGGUGCGACGCCGCGUGGGGGAAUGAAGGUCUUCGGAUUGUAAACCCCUGUCAUGUGGGAGCAAAUUAAAAAGAUAGUACCACAAGAGGAAGAGACGGCUAACUCUGUGCCAGCAGCCGCGGUAAUACAGAGGUCUCAAGCGUUGUUCGGAAUCACUGGGCGUAAAGCGUGCGUAGGCUGUUUCGUAAGUCGUGUGUGAAAGGCGCGGGCUCAACCCGCGGACGGCACAUGAUACUGCGAGACUAGAGUAAUGGAGGGGGAACCGGAAUUCUCGGUGUAGCAGUGAAAUGCGUAGAUAUCGAGAGGAACACUCGUGGCGAAGGCGGGUUCCUGGACAUUAACUGACGCUGAGGCACGAAGGCCAGGGGAGCGAAAGGGAUUAGAUACCCCUGUAGUCCUGGCAGUAAACGGUGCACGCUUGGUGUGCGGGGAAUCGACCCCCUGCGUGCCGGAGCUAACGCGUUAAGCGUGCCGCCUGGGGAGUACGGUCGCAAGAUUAAAACUCAAAGAAAUUGACGGGGACCCGCACAAGCGGUGGAGUAUGUGGCUUAAUUCGAUGCAAC
rnacentral:rRNA from 1 species